GAUGAACGCUGGCGGCGUGCCUAAUACAUGCAAGUCGAGCGAACAGAUGAGGAGCUUGCUCCUCUGCCGUUAGCGGCGGACGGGUGAGUAACACGUGGAUAACCUACCUAUAAGACUGGGAUAACUUCGGGAAACCGGAGCUAAUACCGGAUAAUAUAUUGAACCGCAUGGUUCAAUAGUGAAAGACGGUUUUGCUGUCACUUAUAGAUGGAUCCGCGCCGCAUUAGCUAGUUGGUAAGGUAACGGCUUACCAAGGCAACGAUGCGUAGCCGACCUGAGAGGGUGAUCGGCCACACUGGAACUGAGACACGGUCCAGACUCCUACGGGAGGCAGCAGUAGGGAAUCUUCCGCAAUGGGCGAAAGCCUGACGGAGCAACGCCGCGUGAGUGAUGAAGGUCUUCGGAUCGUAAAACUCUGUUAUUAGGGAAGAACAAAUGUGUAAGUAACUAUGCACGUCUUGACGGUACCUAAUCAGAAAGCCACGGCUAACUACGUG
rnacentral:rRNA from 1 species